rnacentral:lncRNA from 13 species
GUUUUCAGGUUACAGUUCAGUAAAUACUAUUAAUAAAUUUUCUAAAAUGGUAUGGGAUUUCUAAAAUUAUGUCUGAAUAUGUGCUAACUUUCAUAACUGAAGUUAUGUUAAGUUACUGUAAACCACAAAAAUAACCAAAUGUCUUUGUCAAUCAUGUUUUUGAGUGUGACCACCCAAAAAUAUUUUGUUAUUCACAGAUAAUCAUUGUCUUGUUUUGAUCUUUUUAAAAAGAUGGUUUAUAAUCAGCUAUAGGACUUUGACAGGUGCUCUUAAAUGCAGAUUCUGAUGUCUUUGAAGAUCGUGACAUUGGAAUAAACGAAAAAUGUACAGGAUUCAUGAAGAGCUAAAAUGCUCACGAAUAUCAAGCAGAACACUAGUUAACUAAAUGGACGGAACUAACAGAAAACUGAAGUAAUCUUUUUUACUUACUGUUUAAAACAUUGCUGGUUCUUCUUUGUUUUUCAGAGUCAAGAAAAUUUCUUUUAUGCUGUCUACAGCUUUCAACAAUUGAGCAAGGUAUACUCCUGUGAACAAAAUUUGCAGCAUAUUUGUUUCUUUUUCGCCUGGUUCCUCUAGAAUUUGGAAACUAUUUGGGAUCAAGCCUGAAUUGCAGAGUCAAUAAAAACCCCUUGGGAAAACCAGCCUCAUAACUUGCCUACACAGUCCCUGAACAGGAUUCCUAACACAUGAGAUGGGAUCCUGUUUUGUCACCCAGGCUAGUGGCAUGAUCAGGGUUCAUUACGGCCUCAACCUCCCAGGCGCAAAUGAUCUUUUCACCUCAGCCUCCUGAGUAGCUGAAACUGCAGGUUUCGGAGGAUAUAGAAGACGAAGAAAUACGGCUAAACCACCUUGCCUGAAACCUAGAAGUGUUCCCACUGUAAGAUACUUCAUAACCAUAAACUCCAUGAAGUCAGAGACAACAUCUGCUUUGUCAAUGAAUGUCCAGGACCUAGCACAUAACCAGCCACAUGGAAGUGAGGAUGUGUUGAUGCAAGCACCCCUGUGA